GACGAACGCUGGCGGCGUGCUUAACACAUGCAAGUCGAACGGAAAGGCCCUGCUUUUGUGGGGUUCUCGAGUGGCGAACGGGUGAGUAACACGUGAGUAACCUGCCCUUGACUUUGGGAUAACUUCAGGAAACUGGGGCUAAUACCGGUUAGGAGCUCCUGCUGCAUGGUGGGGGUUGGAAAGUUUCGGCGGUUGGGGAUGGACUCGCGGCUUAUCAGCUUGUUGGUGGGGUAGUGGCUUACCAAGGCUUUGACGGGUAGCCGGCCUGAGAGGGUGACCGGCCACAUUGGGACUGAGAUACGGACCAGACUCCUACGGGAGGCAGCAGGGGGGAAUAUGGCACAAUGGGCGGAAGCCUGAUGCAGAAACGCCGCGUGCGGGAUGACGGCCUUCGGGGUGUAAACCGCUUUCGCCUGAGACGAAGCGUGAGUGACGGUAAUGGGUAAAGAAGCACCGGCUAACUACGUG
rnacentral:rRNA from 1 species